UACGAAGGGGGCUAGCGUUGCUCGGAAUCACUGGGCGUAAAGCGCACGUAGGCGGCUUUUUAAGUCAGGGGUGAAAUCCUGGAGCUCAACUCCAGAACUGCCUUUGAUACUGGGAAGCUUGAGUCCGGAAGAGGUGAGUGGAACUCCGAGUGUAGAGGUGAAAUUCGUAGAUAUUCGGAAGAACACCAGUGGCGAAGGCGGCUCACUGGCCCGUUACCGACGCUCAGGCGCGACAGCGUGGGGAGCAAACAGG
rnacentral:rRNA from 1 species